UACGUAGGGACCAAGCGUUGUUCGGAAUUACUGGGCGUAAAGGGCUCGUAGGUGGCCAACUAAGUCAGACGUGAAAUCCCCAGGCUCAACUUGGGAACUGCGUCUGAUACUGGAUGGCUUGAAUUCGGGAGAGGGAUGCAGAAUUCCAGGUGUAGCGGUGAAAUGCGUAGAUAUCUGGAGGAAUACCGGUGGCGAAGGCGGCAUCCUGGACCGAGAUUGACACUGAUGAGCGAAAGCUAGGGGAGCAAACGGG
rnacentral:rRNA from 1 species